UUGUUGUUGUUGGCAGACACUGUCCCAUUCAGAUCAUUGAGUUCAGACUUCAAUCCAACUGGGAUCUCAGUAUUGAGCUGUGAGUUUGCAGCUACGUUGGGAUCCUUGUACAAGAGGUUGAACAAAGAAUUAACCCUUGGCAUGAGAGACUUCUCAUCUGGUGCAUCGAACUGGAUAUUAUCACUUAGCAGUUGCUGUUUCAAGCUCUCAAACUUCUCCAGAUGCUCCGGAUGAUUUCCACCAGCGGAAUCAGAUAGAAGUCCAACGAAAUCGCUCACUGAUAUGGAUUGCUGUAGUCCAGGUACUUUUAGCUGACUCGAAUCAGUUGAUAAGAACGCAACGAGAUCACUCACUGACAUAGACGGGUGUACUCCAGCUGCAUUUUCAACCUGAUUCGGAUGCGUUGUGUUGUCUGAAUCACAGAGAACUGCAAGGAAAUCGUUCAGUGACAUAGAUUGGCGUAGUCCAGGAGCUCCCAUCUGACCACAAUCCGUUGUGUUUCUUGAGUUGACCGCUUCAACACCCCCAGUUCCUUCGUUUCCGCGAGCAUCUAUCACUAGAGAUCAAUGACGCAAACAAUCAAAAUUUGGCUCAGUAGAAGUGAAAAGGAAAAGAACACUCCAGCAAUGAAAAAUACCUGAGCUAGGAGAUGGUGCCUCAUGAGACAGAUACAUAUGCUCAGAUGAUGACUGAGCCCCAACGGGAGAUGCUAAAUUAUGAGUCCCGGAUAUUGAAGGACCUGUGCUAAGAUUCAGAUUCCCAUAAGGAUAUCCCUUUGAUUCACUUGGAUCCUCAAAGAUAGAUGGCCGUGCAUCAAAGCAGAGGGAGUCCAUUUUUAUCUCUGGCUCACGGCUAAGAUGGAACAGGCGAUGAUCACACUGAACGAGCUUUUCGAAAUGUUUGUUCAUUAUCCCUUGAGCACAUUGCAGAAAAUGCAACCUAACAGAUCACAGGAAGACUAUUCAGCUCAAGCUAGAACAUAAACAUUAUUCAGCCACAAAAUGCUAAUGUUUCAAAACACAAGAAGUGUCUAUACCUGUACAUGCUGGCUUGGCCAUCGGUAAAAUCCGAUGUCGCCUGCCACAAAGUAUGUUUCCUAGGCUGUGGGUUUGUUUCCCGGAAAAAUAAGGGCUGCCUAGAAAGCUGAAACAGAAAGAGACAUGAGAUUAGAGUUGAAAAAGAGGACUGAAUGCGAGAAUGAGUGAAGUUGUACCAGGAGAGUCAAUGUUCCAGGUCCAUCCUCAGGACACUUUGCCUGUAACCCCACAAUAUCUGACCACUGGAUCUCGAUCUUGCUCUUAAGACCUUGCUCCAACACUUCCCAAACAAGUUUGUGUUUCGCGAAGUAACACUUCGCCACCAAAUCACCUUCAUACCUUGACUUGUACUAAAAACAAACAGAACCAUGUAAAAUCAGAUCUUGAAAGCACAAUGAAACAACAUGAUAUACCAAAAUUUACAGGGCUCACCUCCCACUUCCCAAUCUUCAAAACAGUAGCAGGAAAGUUCGAAGCUUUAAGCUUCUCAAUGCUUCCUGGCGCCAUACUCGCUCCAGCUGAUGCAGCAGCGAUGCAUUUACUUUCCUUCUUAACACCAGAGCCAACAGCAUCGGCGGCCUUUUGCGUUAGCCUCAUCUGAAUCAAAUCCAACAAAGAUGGACUCUUCCUAAGGCUUAAUCCAAGAGGACUCGGCUCAUCAAGAGGGUUAUACUUAGCCGGUGCCAUCGACGACGAGCUAGUCCCUGAGCUCCAUAGCUAAAAAAAAAGAGAUAUUCAACUCGAUGAAAAAAAAAAACACAAAACCUAAUCGAAAAACAGAGACUUUUCAAUCGAAUUCUCGCAGAGCGCAUAAGAGGAAGAACAAACCUUAGAUCGCUUGUUGAGAGGCCCAUGCGCUUCUUCCAAAUCAUCCUCAGCGAUCUCCAGCUUCACCGGGAGCUCACCACGGCACUUGGACGCCAAUUCAGAGUCCGGUCUCGUAACCCCAGAUUUCCUCAUUUCCACCAUCAAAACACGAAACCCUUUCUUCCUGAUCAAAUCCUCGAUACAGAGAAACCAAUUCGAUAGCGAAAUCGCGAAUACGAAAGAAAAAGUUUGGAUCUUUUUUUUUCUCUCACAGAGGAUUAUCCAGAACGCGAAAGAGAAUCAGCAAACCCUAGAAAAUCAGAUCUAUUUGAUUGAAAAGGAGGAUUCUUUUGGCGGCUAGCGACGCGAGUUUUACGCUUUGUACGCCACGCGCUAUUGUGAUUUGACGGGAAAGGGUUUUAAAAGUCCGAAACAGCCACCGCUUUGCGUGUGUGAGAGGAGGGCUGAGAUAGUCAUUUCGAAUUUUUUAGUAAAUGUUAUAAUUAAUUCGCUGGCGGACAGCCAGUAGUUCUUGAUAUAUCGGGUGGGUCCCGUAAUUUGCUUAUUCUUGUGACGGCUAUAGAUAGAGAUUUUGCCACGUGUUACUCGUUUUCACUGCCUAAUUUGUUAGGCUUUUUUUUUGUAGUCACUGGUCAAUAAUGUUGUCUUAAGCCACAUAAGGUUAGUCAGGACUCAACAAAAUACAAUCUUGUUGUCUUAAGCUACUUAAGGUAGCCAGGACUAAGUUAAAUAGAAAUCUUCUUUUAAAUUGCAAGUAAAGUCUCAUUCUAAUUGUGGUUGAGAAUAGACCAGGACUUCAAAAUUUUCUUUUAGAAAAAAAGCAUAAUGAAAUAAAAUUUCUUGAAUUUGUGCUUCAAAUUAAUGUUAACAAAAUACAUUAUCAAAUAAAAUAAUGAAUAUCAUAAAAAUACAAAUCUAUAAAAUUGGAACAUACUCAUUUUAAAUCUUGUCUCAUUUGGAUUUUAAACAUACUAGGACCGUUCCCGGGCUACGCCCGGGUUAUUUUCUAUGAAAAUAUUAAAGUAGAAUAUCAUAUUAGAUUAAUAUAUUUGUUUUAUAAAUUAUGUUAAAUGUAAAAUAGUGGUAGGAUUAAAAUAAUUAUUGAAUGUAAAAAAAAAUAGAAAAAUAAAAAAUAAUAGCAAAGUAAGAUAUCUAAUAUAAAUCAUUUUAUUUUAAUAAUGUUGAAUAAAAAAUCUAAAAAAAUAAAAUUAUAGAGACAUAAUAUAUAAUACUAAAAUAUAAAAUAUGCAUUUAUAUUGAUUACUAUUAUAUUAAAAAUGUAUAUUUAUAAAAUGAAAAGUAGCCGGAUGGACGUGCGAUUCAAACUCUAGUGAUUAUUAAAUUUGACAUUGGAAAAUGUUUAACAUAGUUUGAUGAGAAUUUAUAUUCAACUGUUUGAGAAGGACGCAAAUUCAUCUCUAUGUUACAUACCUGGAGAGUUGCAUAUGCAUCACUGAAUUCAUAGUGAGAUUCAAUCGUUUAAUUUAUAGUUUUCAAAAAAGGGUUGAAAUAGAGAGAAGAAGGAAUUGUCUAUUCUCUACUGAAACUAUUGGAAACAGGAAACGUGACUAUGAUCAAAAAUGUUAAAAAAAAAAAAAAAAACAAAACAAAAAUAGAGAACAAAACUCACUUCCUUUUCCUUUGCUGACAAUAUAAGCUUGCUAGUUUGUCCAUAAUCUAUCUUUGAAGUUGAAAGAAUUUGAAGGUUUCUUUAAAUUGGUCACAACUCUGCAAUAAACAAACUAUUGCACACAAACUAAGAAAUAAUAAUCUAUAAUAUUUCUUACAAAAUAAAUAAAUAAUAAUCUAUAGUAUUGAUGUUUUUUUCUUGUAACACCUAUAUUAUUAAAGUUAUAUCACGUUUUUUUUCUCUUUGCGCUACUUCAGUAAUCAAAGAAAGAGAGAAACAUCAUGUCAUCACAUUUAUUAAAUUUUACAAAAUUUCUUCAUCUUUCAUUUUUAUUAUUCGAGCGAAAUAUACUAAAAUAAUAUCUAAUAUUCUAUAUAUAAUUAUAAUCAAUAGUAUAUUUUAAAACCCAACAAAACAAUUAAUAUCUAUAUUUUCAUAAAAAUAAUUUAAUACAAAAUUAAUAAUAUAACUCUCAAAAAUACAAAAUUAAAGAACACAUUACUAAAACUCACAAAAUAAAGUAUUUAAAAUAUCACGAAUAGGAACCUUUAUUUAUCACUUCAGUUUCUUCACUUUUUCUUUAUUUUAUAACUGUCAACUAUUAAUCACUCCAAAAAUAUCUGUAAGCAAUGAUCUUAACAAAUGAGAAUUUACAAAUUACAGAUCUAGAUCUUCCUUUAAGUACCGAAAAUGGUUUAUGCUCAACUGUACUCCUUUUCAUAUGAUAUAGCAUUUAGCAUUUACCAAGUACAUAACUUUGAAAUCAUUGUUCCACCAAAAGUACAUAUCAUUUAAAGGGAUCAUAACUUGGAGACCAAGAAAUGGUUCGGAUGAUUCUAAGCGAUGUGUAUGAUCAAGAACAAAAAAUAUUUGUAUUUAACAAAUACCUAAGACUCAGAAACACUAUACCGACAACAUUGAUUAAUCGUUUUGUACAAUCACACCAUCCAAAAAUCACAAUCCAAAAAUUCAUUUGCAGGAUGCCCUUUAUUCCCAUUAAAUCCCACCACCAAACUUUACACACAAUAAAACCCAAUUUGACUUGGAAAAAACAUCAAAAACGAAUACAUGGGAGAUGAAUAAUGCAAUACAAUCACACUAACAUAACAGUCACAAAAGUAGUCGACCAAAAAUAUCCUCUCAGCCAGGAGUUUUCAGGAAGUCCAGCUUCUUCCUGAAUGACCAAAACACAAAACCUAAGAACCACAUAAUACAUUGUUUGCAAUCAUGUGAGGUGAGAAAGAAAAACAACGUACCAUACUGUCUCCGAUGAUGGCGCUAGCUCUUAGGCUUGCUGCGACUGUCUUUGCCCUCGACCCACAGCAGUCUUAGACAAAAACCUCUUCAAGAUAUUCACAGCGACCUCUGUGGUGAUCGAUCCACACACAUAAUUGCCUUAUUGCUUCUCUUUUCUCUUCUCCAAGUCCAACCAAAGUCUCCUUCAUCCUCUCCUUCUCCUUUUCAUCUUCUAUUAAUUUUUCUCCAAGCUUCUUUAUUUCCUCUUCUUUCCUCUCCUUUUCCUUUUCAUUUUCUCUUACUUUCUCUCCAAGCUUCUUUAUUUCCUCCUCUUUCCUCUCCUUCUCUUUUUCAUCUUCUCUUACUUUCUCUCCAAGCUUCUUUAUUUCCUCUUCUUUCCUCUCCAUCUCUUUCUUCAUCUUCUCCUUCUCGUGAUUCCUCUCAAUCACCCAAUACGUCGCAGCCCAUAGUAGUUUAGAUGCCUCCAUUACUGUUUUCUCAUACUUCCCCCGUUUCUCCAUGAGUUUUUCAGACAUUGAUUGAAAGACAUCUAGUGUUGUGUUCACUUUCUCUGCUAUCUCUUUCAUCAUACGUCGAUGAGUCUCAUGAGUCAUUGUGAGGCUUUUUUCAAGCAAUGCUUGUUCUUCUAAGUGUUUAGCUUCUUCUCUCCUGAAAGCUUCCUCUUUCUCUGUUAGCACCUGUUCGGUUACCCUCAGUUUCUGGUUGGAUAAACGUAGCUUAACCUAGAUGUUACUGAUCUUCUCCAUGAGAGUUUCUAUCUCUUCUCCUUUCAUUUCUAGCUCGUUACGUAAACUCUCCAUUUUCUCUUCAUGACCUGCGAUUGCAGAAUCUGUGGAUGAUACUUCAUUACUUGUCUCCUCCAAUAACCUUUGGGCUUCUUUGUGAUCCUCUGUUAGCUUAUUAAGUUCUUCGUCACGUUCUUUUAACAGUUGGUUGAUCUGUUUGUGCCCUCUCCCAGCGUAUUGUAAGCAGCUUCUUGCUCUACCAAUGCUUUUUUGACAUCGAUGAUCUGAUUAGACAAAUCUGAUUUCUCUUGCUUCUCUCUAUCAAGCUCUGAUUCGGUUUCACUUUUCUUCAUCUUCAGAGAAUCAAGUUGAUGCUGCAGACUGUUGAUCUGUUCUGUUAACGCCACUGUAUCAGCUGAGGCUCUGUUUAUCUUAUCCAUUAGCUUAAUCUGCAUUAAAGGUUCAUCGCCUUUGCUAUCCAUUAGCUUCUCUAACUCUUCUUUUUGAGCAGACAGCGACUCUAGUCCUGCUCUUAGGCCAUCGAUCUCAGCUGUCAAACUCUCAGUUGUGGAGGAUGAUUGCUUCUCCUUAUCCUCAAGUUUUUGGGUUAAAGCAGAGAGUUCAGUUCCUCUGUCGUCCAUUGUCUUCUCAAGUUCUGAGAUUCUAGCAACCAUUUCUCUGUUUUGUGCUUUUAGUUGCUCAACUUCAGUGGUCUUUCCAGCAAUUUCUGUCUCAAGAUCUACUCUCCGGCACGAACUGACUGUAGCUCGAACUCAAGGGUCGCUACUGUUGCUUGUAGUUCUUUUAUUUGACCUGUGAUUUGCUUUCCUUCUCUGUCAGAUUUUAAAGUUCGGCUUCUUUAUCAGUAAGCUGUUGUUUAAGUUUGCUUGACUCAACUGUGAGUUCCUGUAACAUGAUCUGUACUCCUUGGAGCUCCCCUGAAGUAUCUGAGAUUUUAGUGGACAUGGAUUUGUUUUCUUCCUCUGCAAUCUUCAGACUUUCAUUCAGAUCAGAAACCCUUUGUUCAGAUGACUUCAGUUGCGCUUCUAAAUCUCUUAGUUGAGUGGAUGAUUCUCUCUGAUGAGUCUCAUGGAUAUCCCUCAAACUGAGAAGUUCCUUUUCUUUCUCAUUGUGGCUCUCUUUUAACUGUCCAGACUCAGACAUGAGUUCUUGGUUAGAGCAGUUGAAGGGUUUUGAUUUGUACAAACGAAAGUAAAUCAGUAUAUAAAGGAUGAGGAAUAGAGGAAACUGAAACGAAAUCAUUAAGAAGAAAUUGAUUGAUCAAAUUUAAGUGGAGUUUUGGUUGAGAAGAAGUGGAGUUUUGAUUGAGAAGAAGUGGAUCCAUUAGAACUCUGGUUUCAAGCUGAGAAGACGAAAAAGUAAAGGGGAAGCUCCUCGUGACUUUCGUCUUCGUCGGGUUAUGAAAAAAAAAAUAAAGCGUACAGACGAUGCAAACGAAGCCCAGAAGCCCACUCCAAACAAACGAAAACGUGAAGCCCAGAAGCGACUAAAGCCUGUCUGACGUGUCCAAACGAAAUGUUUUGAUUGGCUGAUUAUUUUUGGUGACGUGGCAGCCUAGAAACUCAGCAUAUUCUCCUUUUAGUAUAGUAUAGAUUAGUUGCAAGAAUUACCGUCACUCCCACGUCCCAUGUUUAAUAUAGAAAGCAAAUCUCAAGAUGAUAACAUUUUGAUGAUAAAAAUAGUAAACUAAGGUUUUCGGUAUAAUAUUAUAAGUUUACACGUACACAUGAGUACAUAUCAUCUCUCAAGUUAAUUUAGAUUGCAAAAAGCUUGAAUCCACGCUAUUCAGUGUUACAGGUCCUUUAUCUACGGACAUCCCUCUCCUCUGGAAUGGCAAAUGGAGAAAACGAAAUGAAAAAAUGACUGAUGGCUCAAAUUAUAAGUCGCACACAAACAAAACAGAAAUAUUAUCUUUGUUUUCUUUCUCCUCAACGCUCUUUUCCUUGCGUGUGUGGGAUUUAUUCUGUUCAUCUUGUUACAAGCUGAUAUUCAUCAACCUAUCAACCUCAUUUGGAAAAAAAAAGUUUUGAAAGAAGAAGAAAAAGAAGAAAGAGAAAUUUCGUAAAUGGAGGAUGAUAUAUAUAGUAACCACUAAGCGUUUUCUUGAUCCUUCAUCAUCUUUAAGAUUGGUCUUUCUUUAAAAGAACAAUGCCUGUGCCAGAUCCACGAGCGGGGCAGGCAUUCAUCUGUCUCAUUACCUUAUUUCUUUUCUUGUCGAUUGCUGUCGGAGGAGGUUGUCUCAUUGCAUACACAGUCCUUCCUUACCCUUCAAUCUGGCUCGCUUACAUCGGCAUUUUCUUUGUUUGUCUUCCUUGGUUCUUUUGGAUCUUAACAUUUUCAUACCGCAUUGUUUCACGCACUUUUGGAUUCAGGAUGGUCAUUGGAUCCGGUGGUAACAAUAACAGUGCCAAUGGAGAGGCUAAGCCACGCGAACUUGACCCUCCCGAGCAAUCGUUAGAGUCUCCUAAAGAUGAACCUGAGGCAAUGGCUCGUCCGCAAGGCCAUAUUCUAAUGUCAAUGGAAGGGAACCAAUCCAAGAAACGAAUGUCAACAUCCAGCGUCGGUUCACAUGAAAGUGAGAUGCCACUAGCCAUUUCUAUGGGCUCAUGAUGAUCAUAUAUGCUUCCUUUGAUAUAUAAUGAGAUCUUGACAUUGAUAGCAUCAGGACGGAGAUGCUAACCAGAUGCUUAGCCUCUUGAAAACAUGGAUAUAUAUUUGCUGUUUUUACUUUGUAUCUUAUACAGAUAGAUUUGUAGAUUCAACAAAAGAAGAAGUUUUACACCUUUUACUACUACCAAAGUUUUUCCCUCAAGCCCAAACCCCAACAAAGUUGAGGUUGUUUUCCGGUUUAUGUUUAGAAAUCGAGAGAAAUGUUUGUUGCAAAGGGGAACAGUCUGAGAUGUUUCACGUGGUGCAUGUAAUGCGGAUUUUAUAGGAUAGAUAAACAUUUGAGAUUCAUAAAAUUUAUGUAAUUUUGUAUAUAUCUAUAACUAGUUAUGUAAUAUAGCUCUGCUGUGAAGCCUUUGAUUUUGGGGCUAAGACUUAGAGGUUCUUUAACUUGACAUACAAGCCAUGAUAUCAGAUUGUUAAGUACCAAAUGGGUCACUUUAUGAUCUGUCAUGUUUGAACUAGUUAUAACACUAGAGGAUUUGGCAAAAUUACAAACAUUUUUUAUUUCCUGAUCACUCUUGAGCUUUCCUCGGGAAAAUUGUCACAAUUUGGUUCUUAAAACAAUACUGUUUGUGUGUUCUCCUUAUAUUACGUUGACUGAUUCUAACAUCAAAUCAUUUUUAUUAUCUAUCAAAUAUGUAUCAUCAUAUCCAUCAUCCAUGCAAACAGUUGCUGAACAUUGAACAACGCUAAAAACCAUGGCAUCAUACUGGCCCUAUAUGUUUAAGAAUUUGCAGCCUAAUGUUUUUCACUACUUUUCAUAUUAUAACAGAAAGUAGAAGAAGAGAAAUAUUUUUUUGACUAAACAACUAAGCGACAAGCCUUAGACAAACGAAGAAACAUUGCAAAGACAUGUCAUUUACAAUAACUCUAGUUUCUAGUGUGGUCAUAAAGCACGUGAAUAUUCAUCAUUUGACUCUUGCUUGCUAUACAUAAUCAUACCGAGAAACAACGAUUAAAUUAUCUUUCAUUUCUGCAUAUACUUAAUAUAUGAGGAUUACAGUAGUAGUUUUAUACCAGUAGUUACUGAUGAUAAUAACAUAUAUAUAUGAAUAUAUAUAUAUAUAUAUAUAUUCAUCAAAGUAUAUAUAUCUUCAUCAAAGUCAUUGUUAUCUAUUACUCUUCUUCAAAUAAUUGACUUCCUUUGUUUUCUUUCUAUCUAGAAUACUCCACAUGAGCAAUAAGGUACAUUUAGAUACUAUUCGGAUUCUUAGCUAUAGAUGACCAAAAAAAAAAAAAAAAAAAAAAAAUUGUAUCUAAGUAUCAUAUUUCAUUUGUAGAUGCUUAUAAAACAAUACAAUAUUCUUUAUUUUUUAUAUUUCAUUUUUUGAGAAAAUGUACAUAAUUACAUAAACAAUAUCUCGGUAAGCAACGUGAGAUUCAAUAACUCUUGUUCGUAUGUAUGAAAGUUAAUCUUAAGAUUUCUGGAGAAUUUGAAGCCACGAACGGACCACGGACGACUAGACGAGUAAGAGACGUGUGAUAGGUUCAAUGACUCUGGAUAAUUUGGCAGUACGUACAAGUGUAGCCAACACAAAAGAAAGAAAAAGACAUCUACACAAUAUUAAUAUUUGAAACUAAUAGAAGUCCAAGUGGAAGUAAAGUGGGAGCAAGACACCACACGGCAAGGGACACACAACUGAAAGAGAGACAAGGGUAUAUAGAAAGCUUAAGAUCAUAUGAUAUGUCCGAAUCAUCUCAUGUGCAAACUUCUUUUUUAAAACGGGUUUGUUGAUUUUUUUUAUUAUUAAGAAAAUUUUGUAGGUAUUAAUGUUCUAAACACCAUCAUACUCAUUACAGUGUUUAUAAUGUCAUAAUCGCUUACCAGACUCGACCAAAAUAGUGAAAUUUAUUGAUGAGAAAAUCAAGAUAUUGAGGCAAUUGUUUUUCUAACUGUUUUAUGGAUGAAGGCUUAGAAAAAAAAACCCGUGUAGACGAUUUUGAGGGUAAUCAACAUAUAUAACCCUUUAAGAGAAUAAACAAUGCAAUUAGCAAUUAAUUAGAAUCUUGAUGUGUCAAGUGAAAUAAUAUCCCAUACAAAAAUAUAUCUUAGCAAAAAAAGUGAAAUAUAUAACAUAUAAUCCAUGUGGUUUCAGAUUCUUAAUAUGUUUGAUAUGAAAGACAUCUAUUGUAACUAUAUAAAUAGAUACAUAUAUGUAGAGAAAGUUAGUUGGGGGCUAACCAGUAGCCAUCGAAAGUGUUUGGUAAAUAUUAUUUUCUGAAGUAGAAGAAGAAGAAACAAAAGAAAAAAUAGAAGAGAGACCAAACACUUAUCAUGAUUCAUGAGUAACCAUCAUAGUUCCCAUUUCUCCAAGAAAAUUUAUUGUUUACUUUCAAUAUUUUUUCCCUUGAAGAAGAGCUUUUCCUUGUAGCUCUUAUGAUUAUAGUUAAGGUUAGGUGUGAAAAAGUAACCGAAUGUAAAUCAAGCUUUCGGCGAAAAUGCUACUUGUAUGCAACAAAAAGUAUUAGAAAAAAAAACGAAAACAAUCAUCAGUUAGAUAAACUUUGUCACUUUUGAUCUCGAUUGUUUCCCAUUUCAGUUCUUUUUUAUCUCCUUAUAAUUAAUCUCCAUCAAAGAAACAAAAAAGAGAGAUACAAACUCAUGAUCACUAUUAUGAUAUGUUUGAAGUAAUUUGGGAACGUAUGCGUGACAUGAGGGAGGUGCAGACAACCUAUCAGACGUUGACAAUCACCUAAAUGUAACGCUAUCUAUCUCGUCUUUGAGAGCCUGAUUAUUGUAUCUUAGAUGGUUACUAAUUAUAUACUGAACCUGAUAAAACCAACUAUUAAUAAAGAUAUUGAAGUUGUUUGAUACUACUAUUUUAAUUUUGAUUCAGAGUAGUUAACACAAGAAUGAAUGAUGACUUUUCUGGGAAACUAAAGUUAACUCAAAACCAAAUGAUUUCAAAAAAUAUAUAAAUAUGAGGAAAAAUACGGAAAUUCAUAAUGACUACUUAGUACUAAUAAUAUAAAAACUAAAUGAUUUGGUCUCCUUGUUACUGACCUCUCUACGAGCAAAAGAGAGAAGAAGAAAACUCUUUUAAUUAUCAAAAUUAGGUGGCGCGAAAAUAACGCCCUCUCUCUCUCUCUCUCUGUCUUACUAUUAAUCUUUAUCUCUCUCUCUCUCUGAUCCUUCAAUCGCCCGAUCAAAUUCUUCUACCUCUGGCGUUUUUUUGUAAUUGUUCACGAGCAUUCCUCAUCAUCGCCGGCGGCAAUAGACUUGUGAUUCCGAUCGCGUUUGUAUUCCUCAUUACGAUCUCGAAAGGCAUUGAAGAUUGUAUCUCUCCUGGUAAGAUAAUUUUCUAAUUCCCGAGCUCGAGAUUCCUCGGAUCUUCGCAUUUUGGUUUAUCAAUUCCCAAUUUUUGAUUCUACCCAAAAUCUAAAGAACCCUAAAAAUCAUGAAUUUUCAUUACUUGCGAUCUGAGAUUUCAUGAGUUAGGACAAAUAAUGUUUUUUUUUUGUGUGUUUUUUGAUUAUUUGAUACAAAUCUAUGUUUGGUUUAAGACACGUAAUUCCUGUUUCGGCUGUUCGUGAAUUUUGAUUAGAAAAUGUUUGUUUCUUAGGAAAAUUACUAAAUUUGAUUAACGAAGAGUCUGUGUCAUGAGAGACACAAGUCGGUCAGUAAACAGACAAAUCUUCCAUUUUUAUUUUUGUUUUUUGGAUUCUUCGUCUUAAACACUGAAUAAUAGUGUUUUCUUGUUUUCUUUUGUGAGUUUCCUUCACUUUCUCAAAUUUGGUCAAUGUUUUCAAACACCACGAAUCUUCACUCUUACUGCAUUUCAUCAUUCCAAUCCCUGGUUCUUACACAAACGUGGUCCCCUAACUGGAGAAACAUCAAUAUCUGCAAAAUGUCCUUAUGUGUUUGUUGUUAUAUAAGUUUCUUAUUGUCACACAGAUUAUUAAAAUCUCUCAAGCUGCUAGUUUCAGUAACUUUCUUUUGUUCUUUUUCUUCUCUUUCAUGGAAAGACGAAGAAGAAGAUUGGUCCCCUUAAUUUUUUUUUCCAGCCAGUCUGAUAAUGGCACUUCUGUGAUAAGGACACUGCAUCAGAUUCUCCUUCAGAAAAUCUUUUACUUAAAAAAAAUUAUUUUCUGAUAAUGUAAAACUGCAACUAACUAGUUAGAACUCAACCCACCUUUCUCUCUUGUUUACUGUUCUUUUUAAAAAUAUAUAUCUUUUUUUGCAUUGUCUAUCUGCGAGGUAUCUUACUUUUUCCUCAUGUGUUUUGACUUUCUUGCAGUAUAAAGAAACUAGAGGCAUGAGCUCCUGAAUCCAAUCAAUGCAAGUUUGUUUCAUUAAAGCUUUGAAUGGAUGUAGCAACAGAUACUACAAGACGGAGACUUGUUCCAUCAGAUAAGAACAAUGCGUCCACUGCCACUCGCCGUCCUCGAACAGCAACAGAGGUCAGUUCAAGAUACAGAUCACCUACACCAACCAGAACCACUCGAUGCCCUUCCCCAAGCCUCACAAGGCCUACUGUUUCUUCCACCUCUCAAUCCGUAUCCGCCAAAAGAGCUGUUUCCGCUGAGAGGAAGCGUCGUCCUUCAACACCUCCAUCUCCCACUAGUCCAUCCACGCCUAACGUGUCUAUAGACUUACCAGCUUCAUCUAGGCGGUUAUCCACAGGUCGUUUGCCUGAGAGCUUAUGGCCUUCUACUAUGAGAAGCCUCAGCGCUUCGUUUCAGUCGGAUUCUUCUGUCUCAGUCCCUGUUGGUAAGAAGGAGAGACCGGUUAGUAGCUCUUCAUCUGACCGAACGUUGAGACCUUCUUCUAAUAUAGCUCAGAAGCAGAAGGCUGAAACGGUAUCUGUGUCAAGGAAACCUACGCCGGAGAGGAAAGUAAGUCCGUUGAAAGGGAAGAACAAUGCAUCUGAUCGUUCAGAGAAUUCGAAACCUGUGGAUGGUCAGCACAGUAGGUUAAUAGAACAGCACCGGUGGCCUAGUAGAAUCGGUGGAAGGAACUCACUAAACAGAAGUUUGGAUCUUGGAGACAAGGCUUCAAGGGGUCUGUCUACUUCAGGACCUGGAAUGAGACCGUCUCCUAGGAGAAUGUCACUGCCUUUGUCCAACGGCUCGAAACCUUUGCAUAAAACUUCUACAAACGGUGAUGUACUGUCUCCAACGAAGUCGGAAGAUAAUAACAUAGGGCGAAGUUCAGGAGCUCAAAGACUUUUGUCUGCAAGUUCGUUAGAUAGAGCGUCCUUAGCAACGGCUGUAGCCAAGCUGCAUCCAUUAUCUCGCCCUGCUUCACCAAGUAGAACUUCUUUUUCGUCGUCUCUCUCCCGAGGCAUGAGUACUUCGAGAGGAGUGAGUCCUUCAAGAGGACUAAGCCCUGCAAGAGGGUUGAGUCCUGCACGAGGUGUAAGUCCUGCUAGAGGGUUGAGUCCUUCGCGUGUGACAAGCUCUUCUUCUUUUGCGAGACCAUCAACUCCACCUUCAAGAGGGGUAAGUCCUUCCCGGAUAAGACAAAGCAGCGAUUCUACACAAUCAAUCAGUACCACCGCAACUUCGGUUCUCAGCUUCAUCACGGAUGUGAAGAAAGGCAAAAAGGCAAACUACAUCGAAGACGUUCAUCAACUGCGUCUGCUCCACAAUAGGUAUUUACAGUGGCGGUUUGUACUUGCGCGUGCUGAAGCUGCCAUGUACAUUCAACGUUUAACUUCCGAGGUAGAUAAUACUACUCUCUAACGGUUCCACAACUGAUUGAUCUCUGAAAAUUCAAGUUUUGAUAUUUCAGGAAACACUAUUUAAUGUGUGGCAUGCGAUAUCAGAACUACAAGAUGAUGUGACCAGCCAAAGGAUUGGACUGCAACAGCUGAAGCUAGAGAUCAAACUCAACUCACUAUUAAACGAUCAAGUACGUUUUCCCUCUUUCUCUGUGUUGUAUACUGGCUUUGUAUACAUCAGAUUAAACCAUGCUGAUGUAUAAGUAUGUGCGUAGAUGGUGAGCCUUGAAGAAUGGGCCACACUUGAAAGAGAGCAUGUUAGUUCUCUAGUUGGAGCCAUAGCAGAUUUAGAAGCAAAUACUCUCCGCCUUCCAGCUACUGGAGGAACAAAGGUAUGCAUUGUUACUAUUCCUUCAGAAAGAUCAAGAAUAUAGUUAUCAUUUUAUAACUUCUCUUCCUACAGGCGGACGUAGAGUCUUUGAAAGCAGCUAUGUCCUCGGCACUCGAUGUAAUGCAGGCUAUGGGAUCGUCCAUUUGGUCUUUACUCUCCAAGGUGAGAGACCUUUUUAGUAAAUCUACUGUCCAAUGUUUAUCCUCUUCAUAACUCUCACUGCUCUUUAUAAUUGUUACAGGUGGAGGAGAUGAACAAAAUGGUCUCAGAACUCGCUGUAGUAGUUGCAAAAGAGAGUUCUAUGCAAGGAAAAUGCGAAGAUCUUCUGGCCUCCACUGGCAUCAUGCAGGUAACAAAAACAAUCCAGUAGUUUAGUGUAGAAUGAAUUUUGAAAAAAAAUGAACUGAAACCGAGUUUUGGUGGCAUGGAACAGAUAAAAGAGUGUAGCCUAAGGACUCAUCUGAUACAAACUAGGAGAGAAGGAGAAGAAGAUGCAGAGGAGGAGACUCCUCCAGUGUUGCCACAAAGCAAGUUUCCAUGGCCAUAAAUAACACACUUACAGUUCCACUCCCUCAACACUGAUGACUAAUCAUCACCUGUAAAUUGCUCUUUGAUGCCCUCACAUUUUUCUUUUUGAUCUUUCCUUGUUUUUUUUUUUUUUUUAUGAAACAUUAGCAUAGGGAAAGAAGGAAGUGAAAGAUCGAGAGUUCGAAAGUCGUAGGAAGAGGAAAAAACCAAUUUAAUUGUAAACUCUGAUGUAAGGUUUCUUUGAGGCGUUUUAUUUAUAUAGAGUCGAUUAGUUUAAACUUUAAACUUUAAACGAUUCAUAACAAAAACUAACUUUAGGAUUGUUCAUAAAUCAUAACUAAUCGCAUCAUGUAAUCGUUUGAUGCAAAACGUUUAAAUAAAUAAAAAUGUAAGAAACGCAAAAUGAGUCGUUUCCUUUUCACUCAAACGCAAAUGUUACUACGGACAGUAACAGCCGCCACCGCCGAGACAACCGUUGCAGUGAUAAACAACAACAAGAACAGCUUCUUCGAUCUCUUCAAAACAUCAACUUCACUCUCUCACCUCGCCCAAACCCACGCUCAGAUCAUUCUCCAUGGCCACCAAAACGACAUCCAACUACUCACAAAACUCACCCAACGUCUCUCCGACCUCGGCGCCAUCCCCUACGCACGCAGCCUCGUCCUCUCCUUCCAUAAACCCGACGUCUUCCUCUUCAACGUCCUCAUGCUCGGCUUCUCCAAGAACGGAUCGCCUCACUCUUCUCUCUCACUGUUCUCCCACUUGAGGAAACACACUGACCUCAAACCCAACAGCUCCACUUACACCUACGCUAUCUCCGCCGCUUCGAGUAUUCAUGACGAGAGAGCUGGCCGUUCUGUUCAUGGUCAAGCAGUCGUUGAUGGGUUUGACUCGGAACUACACGUCGGGUCGAAUAUCGUCAAGAUGUACUUCAAGUUUUCGCGGGUGGUUGAUGCUCGCAAGGUGUUCGACGGAAUGUCUGAGAGAGACGUGGUUUUGUGGAAUACUGUGUUAUGUGGAUACAGAGAGAACGAGAUGUAUGAGGAGUCUGUUAUGGUUUUUAGGGAUUUGAUUAACGAGAGCUGUACUCGUUGGGACUCGACGACUGUGUUGAAUAUACUCCCUGCUGUUGCGGAGUUGCAGGAGCUGAGGGUUGGGAUGCUAAUCCAUAGUCUCGCGAUGAAGACAGGGUGUUAUUCCCACGAUUUUGUUCUCACGGGUUUCAUCUCGUUGUACUCGAAAUGUGGAAAGGUUGAAGCUUUGGAUGCUCUGUUUCGAGAGUUUUGUGCACCGGAUGUGGUGGCUUACAAUGCGAUGAUUCACGGGUAUGCUUCUAACGGCGAGACUGAGCUCUCGUUAAGGCUGUUUAGAAAGCUGGUGUUGUCGGGGGAAAGGUUGAACUCAAGCACGCUGGUGAGUUUGAUCCCUGUCUCUGGUGGUCAUCUUAUGCUUGUAUAUGCCAUUCACGGUUACAGCUUGAAAUCAGGUUUCUUGUCUCAUGAAUCUGUCCCAACCGCGUUAACAACGGUUUACAGUAAAAUGGACGAGAUGGAAUCAGCACGGAAGGCUUUUGAUGAGUGUACGCACAAAAGCUUGGCGUCUUGGAACGCAAUGAUCUCGGGUUAUACACAAAACGGGUUGACAGAGGACGCGAUAUCUCUGUUCAGAGAAAUGCAGAAGUCUGAGUUUCGUCCGAACCCGAUCACGAUAACUUGUAUUCUAUCGGCUUGUGCGCAGUUAGGAACGUUGAGCUUGGGGAAAUGGGUGCAUGGUUUAGUAAGGGGUAGCGAUUUUGAGUCUAGCAUAUAUGUGUCUACUGCUUUGAUUGGUAUGUAUGCAAAGUGCGGAAGCAUUGAAGAAGCACGCCGGUUGUUUGACUUGAUGCCGAAGAAGAAUGAAGUUACAUGGAACACAAUGAUCUCCGGUUAUGGGCUCCAUGGACAUGGACAUGAAGCUCUGAAUAUCUUCACUGAGAUGUUGAACUCCAGCGUUGCACCGUCGCCAGUCACUUUCCUCUGUGUUCUCUACGCUUGUAGUCAUGCUGGCCUGGUCAAGGAAGGUGAUGAGAUUUUCAGUUCCAUGAUCCACCGGUAUGGUUUUGAACCAACGGUGAAGCAUUACGCUUGCAUGGUUGAUAUUCUUGGCCGAGCAGGACAUUUGCAGAGAGCGUUGCAGUUCAUAGAGGCAAUGCCAGUUGAGCCGGAUCCUUCCGUGUGGCAGACACUGCUUGGAGCUUGUAGGAUUCACAAAGACACAAACCUUGCACGUACCGUCUCCGAGAAGCUCUUUGAGCUGGAUCCAGACGAUGUUGGAUACCAUGUUUUGCUGUCAAAUAUUCACUCGGCUGAUAGAAACUAUCCACAGGCUGCUACGGUCAGACAAGAAGCAAAGAAGAGGAAACUAGCCAAGGCUCCUGGUUAUACCUUGAUAGAAAUUGGUGAGACGCCUCAUGUGUUUACCUCAGGCUGCUACGGUCGGACAAGAAGCAAAGAAGAGGAAACUAGCCAAGGCUCCUGGUUAUACCUUGAUAGAAAUUGGUGAGACGCCUCAUGUGUUUACCUCGGGUGAUCAGUCACAUCCACAGGUAAAAGCAAUAUAUGAGAAGCUAGAGGAGCUCGAAGGGAAGAUGAGGGAAGCUGGGUAUCAACCGGAGACUGAAUUGGCCUUGCACGACGUGGAGGAGGAAGAAAGGGAGCUGAUGGUGAAAUUUCAUAGUGAGAGGCUAGCCAUUGCCUUUGGACUCAUUGUCACCGAACCAGGAACUGAAAUUCGGAUCAUAAAGAAUCUCAGGGUCUGUUUAGACUGUCAUGCCGUAACCAAACUCAUCUCGAAGAUCACAGAGAGAGUGAUAGUUGUAAGAGACGCCAACCGCUUCCACCAUUUCAAAGAUGGUGCUUGUUCUUGCGGAGAUUAUUGGUAGUGACUUGUUUUGGCCGCAAGACAAGUCAUCUUGUACUCAUAAUGUAACAUUACAUCACUCAUAAGUGAUUAUUCUUUAAGUCUUGGUUUCUUGUUAUUCAAAUAAUCUACUUCUAUGGUUUCACAUACAUGGAAAUAAAAGGAACUAUACCGAAACUUAUCAAACUCACUGUUAUUACCAGAUAAUAUAUCUUCAGACAAUUGUGCAUCAUGUAUCCUUAAGUUGCAGUCCCGUCGCUGAAACUUCAUCAUCAGCUGACUUUUUCUUCUUUUUUAGGGAGUGGUUCUUGAGCUUUCCGAAGAACUUCCUUGUUUGGUACCAAGACAAUAAAACAAGUUUCUGUCUCUGAAGUAUUUACUUUCCUCAGUCGCAAGCUUUAGAUGUUGACAAGUUUCAGCGACUCAAGUAACAAGAGCAAUGCAGAUGCCAAUCCAAUUUCAAUUAGAAAAGACUAAAGAGGUUAGAGUACACAAUACACAGACCUCUCCAAUUUCAGUCUGGAAAUAUCUUAUAAUUAAAUUACGUAUUUAAAACAAUGGACCGUAUGAGUACUAUCAGGCCCAAUAAAUAAAAGGCCCAAACCCUAAAAACGCCUGAGGGGGAGAAGCUGAUAACGAAAAUAAAAAGAAGCAUCAAUACGCUUCUCCGCCGCGUUCGUUCCUUCAUUCUUUCUCACACAAACUCUCUCCCUCUCUCUCUCUCAGGUAACGCUUCUUCAAUUUUGUCUCUUUCAUUUCAAAUACUCCUUUCUCAUCUCACUCCUCUGGUUACGUAGCCUCCGCCAUUGAUCGUUUGCGUCUAUUGUGCAGCCCUACUAACAACCAUCCUAGCUUUUACCGCGAAAGAUUCCGAGAGUGAUGUUGAGCUUGAGGCCAGGAGGAGGUCGUGGAGGAAGCAUCUUCGCCCCACGCUCUGCCUUGUCUUCCUCUUCCUCCUCUGAUCUUACCAAUGCCGAAGACGCUCCUUCUUUUGCCGUUAAGGUUGUUCAUUCGUUUGCUCUUCUUCUAGAACUUUUAGCUGUAAAUUCGAUUCCGUUUUUUAUUUCUCUCGUUUUGGAUUGAAUCUGAGUUUUGGAAUCUGAGACACAACAAUGCAAUGUCCUAAUUCUUGGUGGGGCGCUUAAGCAAUGCGGCCUUGCUGUAAAUAUGCACAGAGAUUGAUUACUUUUUAGGUGGGCACUCUUUAAGUUCUUUGAUGCUCAUAAAGGACCCUACGUACAUGUUAUUGAUUUGAGAACACAUGCGUGUUGAGUCUAGCCAUGUUUUUAAUUCUGAAGUUGACGUUUUAAUGGAUUUUUUUUUGUUUUGUAGAGAGGAGACUCGAGNNNNNNNNNNNNNNNNNNNNNNNNNNNNNNNNNNNNNNNNNNNNNNNNNNNNNNNNNNNNNNNNNNNNNNNNNNNNNNNNNNNNNNNNNNNNNNNNNNNNUACCCUCGAUGCGACUUUCAUUUACCCAAUGUGAUACUCACAUUACCUACUUUUCCAUUUCUCAUAAACACAAUGUGUUUUCUUGAAUGUGGCUCAUAUAUGGUAGAAAGAAACGUAGUAGAGCCUAACAUUAAAAUGUUUCAAACAAACAAACAGUAGAAGAAGAGGAAGAACCAGCGAAACCAAGACAUAAAAAGCUCUUAUUUAUUCUCUCCCUCUCUUCUUCAUUCAAUGACUGAGAAUCUUCAUCAAGCCAGAACUCAUCAUGAGUCACUAACGAGUUCAGACAUCUCGCUCCUGAUGCUCUUCUCCGGUGUGGACAACAAUGGAGUUCCAGAAAUAAAAGCCUUGAAGAGCGCAAGUGCCUCCUUUGGUCUGUGCAAAGGAACUUCAUGUCCUGCGCCUCUCACAGUCACAAAGUUUAGACCUGCAUACUGCUGAGUCCACCCUCCCACCUGUUUCAAAUCAUCAUGACUAAAGUUUCAAAACAAUGAGAAGAAAAUGAUUCUCACUUUCUCAGUUGAGUUUGUUUGUUAAUUACCUGUCCGUCUAUGUACCAAGGGCCAUAGGGACUAGUUGUACUAAGGUUUAGAGCAUCUAUGCUGUACCGGGUUGAUGUGACUGGUACAACAGCAUCUGCAUCUCCACUGUUACCACCGAAACAAAACUUUUAUUAACCACCAAAACGCCACAAAAACUUGAAGAAAAGAUAUAUAGAGAAAGAGACCUGAAAACCCAUAUACGAAUCCCAGCAGCUAUAAGCUCGUGGUAAAUGUCUAGAACCGAGGAAGCACAGUCGUUCCAGUUUUCAUUCACCACGUAACUGCAAAACCAUAUACAUUCGGAUCAGGAUUGUUACAAAGCCUUAAACCGAGUUCUAAGAUAAUAUGGUAAGGUGAAUUUUACUUGCAAGUAUCCCAUUUGGAUGGUGCAACUUCUGGUGGGACAUGGAGAGCUCUUUGAACCUCUGGAAGAUUGAAAUACACUUUGGAGUGUUUCUCCGUGCAAGGAUCAUAUUGUUCACUCACGCGGCUAUUCACCUAAGCAAAACAAAUGAUGACAUUACCUCAACACAUUCUUGACUUAAGAGGGAAUUUAAGAUCACUUACUGGUCUUCUCUUUAGGAGCAUUCUUGACUGGGAAGCACUUGCAACACAGGCCGGUGUGAAGACACUGUAGUGGUCUAUGUUACCCAUUUCCUUGUAGGAUAUCUCCAGAGCGUUAUUGCAGGCUUCAGAGGAGUGAAUAAAUGGUUCCAAACCACACUGGAGUUUCAGUAAGGUGUAUGUUUGGUCGGAGAUGAAACCCAGCGUCCAAAUAUACUGGAAAAGACCGAGCUGGUCUUGGCGAUCAUCCAUCAAUCCAUUUCCUACCUGUAAAACAAACACUCACCAAAGUCUUUAUAAAUCACAUUAAUAAAUAAUCACAUAGGGAAUGAUAAUGAGGACAUGCUCACCAUGUAACCCUUCAGGUUGAUUGUGUUUUCGCCAGAAGCUUGGUUAUGUCUUACAAUGGCUUGGCUCAGCUGAGGAAUGUAAUGACCUAUAACAAGGCAGAGAAUAUUUUAAGACAAAAUGAAAAGACUAAUAAGUAAGAUGAGCUUUCCAAGUUAUUAUUACCUGCAUAGCUCUCCCCAACUAUAUAAAACUCUCUUCCUUUGUACUCCGGAUAUCUCUCAACCCAUUUCAGCAGAAAUGUAAGCGAGUCUUGUGCUGUGUAAAUCAUAAAGCCGCAACUAUAAACCCCCCACCCACCAACAAAGAGUAUCUAAAAAGACAAUGAGCUUAAGCAGCUAAGACAUUACCAGUUCUCUUAUCACCAUUGGUAAGCAAAUCAGAUGAAGUGUUUGAGUAUGAAAAGCCAACUCCAACUGGUGCAUCCAGGAACAAUAUAUUCGCAGCUGCACAAAUAAAAGUUGGACCAAAGUUUUAAGCUUUAAUAGAAUCAUAUCUAUCUCUCUCUCUCUCAAACAUAAUCUCUCAUUUCAAUUUUACCUUGGUUCCAAGAAUGUUGAUUAAGGUAAAGAGUCUUCCCAUCUGGCUUAAUGUGAAAUGGUCCUAUCUCUUCUGCUUCGCCAAAUCCAACUGAUGAACAUCCUGGUCCUGUACAGAGAGAUAGUAAAUAAACAAAAAACAAUCCAUCUCAGACCAGGUUGCUAUGAAGAUCCAUUCAUUUUGUUUGAAGAAUAAGAAAGUGAAAGCUUUUCCAUAUCAAAGUAGUGUUUAAAAUCCUAGAAAAGAAAAAUCCCAAUUAGAUUCCAUUUUAGGAAUCAGAACAACAUAGUUGCCACUCAUAGCCUACAAGAAUCAACAUGAAACCAAAAUUGAAAAUCACGUGUAACAUAUCAAAAGCUACAAUAAAAUUAGAAACAACCAAUAUGUAAUCAAAUCCUACAAGACAUCUACAAAAAGCUUAAAUUAAGAUCCACAUCAUAUAACAGUAGCUCAUAGCAAUCAAAACAGGUUUGAUGAGUUGGCAAUCUAUUUAAAUACUAUUGAAUUAAUUAAGCAGAAAAGGAUAGAACUAAAUUAAUAAAAUGGAGAAAACUUAAGGCUUUGUUUUUUUAUGUAACAAACCUCCAUUGAGCCAGAGUACAAGAGGCUUAGACGCAGGAUCUUCAGCAGCUUCAAUUAGCCAGUAGAAGAGCGCUCUUCCCAGCUUCUCAUUCGUUGUAACGAAUCCAGAAUAGUGAGCAAAAUUUACAUUGAAGUUCUGACCGGGCAACUUGGAGACCUUAUCCUGUUCUUUCUCAGACAAGACAGAUUCACAGUUGCAGAAAUGGGCAAUCGCUAGAACAGCGAUUGGGAAGAGAGCGUUGACGAAACAAGACUCUUUGGUUUUAGCCAUUAAUGUUUGGUAUGUUCACAGUACAAUGGAGAUUUAUUUGUGCAAUUUAAAGACAGAAGAUUAGAAAGCAUGUGGGAGAUGACGUCAUAAGCUUACUCGACCAAUCCCAGAAGAAUCUGACUUUUAUUAUAUUUCACUCAUCGUACGUUGUGUGGGUGUGGUCCUAACGAAUGUAAACGUUCAAACGUAACUGCAAAGGACUCAGAAUGGCGUUUUUGGUUUAGCAAUUAGCUGUUAUUACUUAGGUUAGAUUUUUUUGCUGGAUGAUUGAUUAAUUACGAAGACCUUAUCUGAAUUCGUAAUUAGAGAUUUUUGGAAUCUGUUUUGUUGUGUUGUAUGUAAACUGCUGUUUUGGUAUUAAAUAUAGCGUUACUGAUUGCGUCUGCGUUUGAGAUAGUUGCGUGUGAGAGGCGGAAACUGUAGGUGUGGAAUAGAAGCAAGUGCCAAAAGGGCUUCACGUGUUUUCUUCUAUUGGGCCGUUUCUAAGCUACGUCAUAUUACUAAACUAAACUAUUUCUUUCUUACAGCAUAAAAAUGAAGCAAUAGCUUUUAUGUUUCUUUACGUUUUGGCUUAGAUAAUUAAAGUAUUAUCAAACCAUCCCAUGGGAAUCUUGUGCGUCAUUUUCAACUUUUACUAAAUAAUAAUAAUUGACUCUAUAACUGGAGCUUUUUCUGACGACAGAUUUGAUAAAGCCUGGAGGGUCCAGCACUUUCGGAGCUUGUGGCUGCACGCUCGUUGAAUACAUACCAACAAAGCAAAUGCUAAAAGAAUCCUGCGUUUUUGAACAUCAUCAUAAGAUCAAGCUUUAAGACAAGGUAUGAUACAAUCAGUACUGUACCUUCAGUUGCAUCUCUUUGGGUUUUGAAACCAAGACCAAUGUUCUUUCCAUAAACGAUUGCCUUCUUUUCAUGCCUCUUUCUCUUACCUGGUCUCUUUGAGCUGAUAAAAACGAUAGGAUCAUAUGCACAAGUGACCAUAUAUAAUCUAAUCCGUGUAAGCAAAUACAGAGCAACUAAUCACGAGACUUUUACCAUAUAUGUAUGGGCUUUACGCAUAGGCUGUGACCAAUCCUUAUUUGGGCUUAAAGGAGAACUUCAGAGGGGAUAGUUAUACUGGGCUUAUAUAUGAAAAUAGUGUUUAGUAUAAGAAAUAUUAACUUGGAUAUUUUUGAUGAUUUUAGGUUUGGUAAACAUACGAAUUUAUCUGGAACAUAGGUUUAGGAGAAAGUAAACAAAUUAAUGUUUAAUUUAUUUUGAUUGAUUUUCUAAUAAAACCAAAUUCUCCCUAACUGGUCAAUGAUAUGGUUUUUAGUGUCUUUAUCAGUGGCACUCGAUAAUUUCAAUUUGUUAAAAGAUAAGGCACUAAAAUUAUUUGUCCAGUAUCAUAUAAUUGUAUAAUCAAAUUAUUGAUGAGCACACGUCAACAAAUUCAAGAAUGGUACCUUAUGUCAUGACAUCAUUGACAUGACAUAUUAUAUAACUAGUAGGUCCAAUAUGAUGGGAGCUUUGUUACUUUACCAUAUCCACAUAACUCAACCACUUAUUAACAACGACGACCCUCUCAAAAUUAGACAAGGUGACUAGGUGAGAAGAUACAUAAAUAAUUGAAAUAAUUGGUAAUAAAAUUUAACAUUUUUACCAAAAAAAAAAAAUAAUUGAAAUGACAGAGGAAAUAACACAUGUGUUAAGAAUUAAACUAAACUGGAAAAGGUGAUUCAAAGAUCGGCCAUGUGCAUGUAUAACAAUUUACAAAGUCAACGACGGCAACUGUUACCAAGGAUUAACAUGAGUUUGCAAAGUUACAAGAAGUACAACUAAACACACAAAAAAUAUAUAUGGAAAAGUGAAGAGUGUGGAUUCCAUGUUAUCCUAUUAUCAUUUGUGUGGGGUUGCGAUGGCUCUAUUUGAUUCCGAAUCCAAAGCUAAGUUGUCAAAUACGAAUCUCACGAGAUUCUCUUUAAUGUCAAUCAUAUAUUUUAUGUUUGUUUCAGAUGGCAGCACAUCAUGAAUGUAUUAAUUUUGUUAAGAGUGUAAUGAAUUUCUAUAUAUUUAAAUUUUUUAUUUCAAGUUAUUGGUUUACCAUAACAAGCUUUAAAUUCAAACUAAAGAUAUGUGUUUAGCAUUCUCGUAACUUUAGUUUAGUAGAGGUAAAAAUGUUAUAAAAUGGCAUUAGGAUCUCUUAAGAUGUUACACCCGUUCUCUAUCACAUUUAUAAAGCUAAAACAAAAGCUUUCAUGCUUUUAUGUCUAAGUAAGCUUCAGCUGCUUUAUGUGUUUUAUAUCCUUAUAGAUAUAGAAUAUAUUUUCAUGUUUGUUAACAAACACAGCAGAAGCAGUUGGCUAUUUACUUUAAUUCCUUCUAUUGUUUCUCUAAUAUCACUUUAUAAGAUUUUGAUAUGUAAUUGUAUUAUAUUUUUGUUUCACAUUUCGAUGUAUGAUAUACAUAUCUCUCUUAGUGUAUAGAAGAAUACACACCUUCAAAGACUCCCAUGUGGAAGCUCAACCAUUCUGAUGCUAACUACUAGCCUUUGAAAUAAUGUGAGGUGUUACCUCUUUCUCCACCACAAGUAUCUUUUUGUCCAUAGCUAUUCAUAAUUAAUCAAAAAGGUGGUCCAAUUUUACACCUUAGUGCUGUGACUAUCUUUCAUACAUCUCUAGAGUGGAACAUAUGAUACUGCUAAUUGCAGUUAUAUUUACAUAAACUAAAACAAAGCGCCCAAACGAGGAAAAAAAAAAACAGUUUCUUUUGCCUCCUAAUUUCGUAAAAAAUAAUGCAAAACUCAUUUUUUAAUAAAAUGUUUUCCUAAACAAUGCAACCAAUCACGGCCAAAAAUGUAAAGAAACAUUGAAAUAUCACUUUCAAAAGAUCGUUUUCAAUGUCAAGCUGCUUGCAUACUUAAUUUAAUCAUCUUUCUCUGCAAUAAUAAUGGACCCCUACGGCCAUUUUUGUGUGUAGGUGGUCCAAUUCACAUCACAUGCCAAUCAAGCUGAUCAUAUGAUAUGAAAAUGCUAAAAUUACUUUAUACAUAGUAACAUCGAUAAGCUUAUCAUAUGAUCAUCAUACGUAUAAACAUUGUGAUUCAGAUUAUGGCCACAAUUGUGUUACGUUAUGACUUAUGUACGUAGUGUUGAUUUGGAGGUUGCUCUAAGAUCUGGUGUCAAAAGAAAAGAAACCAAUUAAUUACUGAAUAUGGCCGAGAUUCAGAAUUAAUUAUAUUAGCUUUUGUGUUUUGUUGUUUUUUUUUUGUUAUUAUUCAUUUCUUGAUUCGUUAUAAGUUAUAACGUUUCUUACUGUAAAUAGAACAAAAAUAAACUAAUCCAAACUAACAUUAACACGUUUAUUAAGUUGAUAACACUAUUGGAUAUGAAUUGAGGGUAUAGAAGGUUUAUAUUUCAAUUUAUCUAACUAUUGGGGUAAAAUCAAAAUAAAUAAAGAGUUACUGUCCCUCCCUGUGAAAACAAGGCUUUAUCUGUUCUUCUCUUCUACAGAGGGAGAAGAAAAAAAACAAAACAAAAGGGUUUCCUCCGUCUCUGUCUUGCGUGAGAGACUAAACUUACAUCCGAAGCUUCUCCGUAACUUUCCAUCAAUUAAAAAAAAACGUGUAAAAUUAUCGAAAAAAGAAAAAAAAAUUCGUUGUAGAAGCUCAGAGGAGGAGGAGGAAGAGGAAAGCCUUUGAGGUUUCGUAGAAGAAAAAUUGAGGAAUAUUAAUUGUUUAAAUCAAGUGGGUUUUCGUGAAGAGAAGUUCGACUUUGACACUCGUCUCUUCACGCAAUCGUCGUAUCACGUCUUCUAGGGCUUGCUUCAAUUUUUGAUUUAAAAAAAAAAGUAAUUUUUCUGGGUAAGGAAGGCGAAAGUUGGAGAAUUUGAGGAUAUCUCGUGGUGGGUACUUUGGAAAACAUCGAAAGGUUUAGUCUUUGAUGAAUCUGUAGUCUGGUCAAAGGAUCGAAGAUUUAGAUAGAAAGAAAGCCUUAGUCUUUGUUGGUUUGGUUUGGUUUGGUUUGGUUUGGUUGCCUUUGUCUCCAUCUCUCUAGGUUGGCUACGAUGAGCGCAAGCUUCACUUGUGAUGACGGGAAGCUGAUUCUCUGCGUGGCGGAGAACGGCCACACAUUUGAAUUCAAUUGCAGCGAGACGACUCUAGUUGAAUCCGUGAUGCGUUUCGUUGAAUCUGUCUCCGGGAUCACCUUCUCUGACCAGCUUCUCCUCUCGCUGGACAUGAAGCUCGAGCCUCAGAAGCUGCUUUCUGCUUACGGUCUCCCUUCAAGCGACCGAGAAGUGUUUGUUUUCAACAAGUCUAUGCUUCAAAGCAGCUCUCAUCCUCCCUCACCGGAAGAUUUAGAUUUACAGGAGGUUGAUGAUGCUUUGCCUCCUGCUCCAGUCCAUGAGCAUCAUCCCUUGGACGACGCGUUGGAUCCGGCUCUAAAGGCUUUGCCUUUGUACGAGAGGCAGUUUCGUUACCAUUUCCAUAAAGGCCGCGUCUUUUACAAUUGUACUGUUGUGAGGCUUGAGAGCUGUGAGAGGCUGACGAGAGAGCAGAAGGUGCAGCAGAAAGCUGUUGAAGUCGCUACGAGGAAUCUUGAGCAGUAUUACAGGGUGAUCUUUCAGAACUUUCUCGAGUUCAUGAAGCGUUAUAAGCACCAGCACCGCCUCCACUCUGAUCUGCUGAUGAAUUUCGGAAGGGAUGUUGAGAAACUGAGGUCGGUUAAGGUUCACCCUGGUCUGCAAACCGAUUCGAGGAGAUGCUUGUUGGACUUUGUCAAGGAAGAUAGCCUCAAAAAGGCUGCGGAGAGUUGCGGAAUCUCUCACAAGCAGUUUGAGAACAAGAUCGCUCAGUUUCAGCAGAUGUUUGUGGAGGUCAAGCGCAAGGUUGAGGAGCUGUUUGCUUGCAGAGACUCCUUAACGAUGAAGAGCUUAGAAGCGGCUCUUAAGGACCACGAACGAUUCAUUAACGAGCAGAAGAGCAUAAUGCAGUCUCUAAGCAAAGAUGUCGAUACGGUUAAGAAGCUUGUGGAUGACUGCAUGUCUAGCCAAUCGUCAUCAUCUCUCCGACCUCAUGACGCUGUUUCAGCGCUUGGUCCUAUGUACGAAGUGCACGACAAGAAUCACCUCCCUAAGAUGCAGGCUUGUUACAACUCCAUUUCAGAGUUGCUGGCGUUUUGCAAGAGCAAGAAGAAUGAGAUGAAUGGCUUUGUGCACAGCUACAUGCAAAAGAUAACGUACGUCACAUAUAUCAUCAAAGAUGCGAAGUUGCAGUUUCCUGUUUUCAGAGAGGCGAUGGUGCGUCAGGACGACUUGUUCGCUGACCUGAAGCUGGUCCGUGGUGUUGGCCCCGCUUAUAGAGCCUGCCUCGCAGAGGCUGUGAGGAGGAGAUCCUCUAUGAAGCUUUACAUGGGAAUGGCUGGGCAAUUGGCAGAGAAGCUUGCUAUGAAGAGGGAGACAGAGGUCAGGAGACGCGAGGAGUUUCUCAAAACUCAUGGUCCUUUCUUACCGCGUGAUGUGUUGUCCUCAAUGGGUUUAUAUGAUACUCCCACUCAGUGUGAUGUCAAUGUAUCUCCUUAUGAUACUAGUUUGAUCAAUAUUGAAAUGGCAGACGUUGAUCGAUAUGCUCCUGAGUAUCUGGUUGGGUUACAUUCAAAGGUUGCGUCCUCAAGGAGUUCACUGGGGAUGUCUAGUGAUAGCUCGCUUUCCGCUGAAGCUGAGGAGACAAGCUUGGACAGUUUUGAAGAUAUCCUAGAGGCCUCUGAGUUAGUGGAGAUAGCAGGGACCAGCAAGAUGGAAGUUGAGAACGCGAAACUAAAAGCAGACCUUGCUUCUGCAAUCUCUCGGAUAUGUUCCUUAGGCCCACAAGUUGAAUACGAUGUGCUGGAGGAUGGAAGCGAAGUGGAAAAUCUGUUGAAAAAUGCAGCAGAGAAAACAGCAGAGGCGCUGCAGGCGAAAGAUGAGUAUGAGAAACAUCUCUUGUCCAUGCUCAAGGAGAAACAAAGGCAUUGUGAUUCAUAUGAGAAACGCAUCCGUGAACUGGAACAACGUCUCAAUGAUGAGUAUCUACAGGGAAAGAGNNNNNNNNNNNNNNNNNNNNNNNNNNNNGGGAAAGAGAUAUGUUAAUAGUAAAGAUGUGUCUGGCUUGAACCUUAUGGACAAAGCAGACGCUUCAGGUGACGUGGAAGGCAACAAAGCACAUGUAUCUGGUUCAGAGCCCAUGGAUGAGGUCUCAUGUGUUUCAAAUCUUUCUAGCAAGCAGCCAUGUAAAGCUAGGGAAGGUAUGGAUGAGAACAUGGUGGAUUCCUCUCAGGUGCUCAGUCAUCAUCCGCUUGAUUCAUCGAUGCUGGAAAGCCAGUGUCUGGCUUGAACCUUAUGGAAGAAAAAGGCAACAAAGCUCAUGUAUCUGGUUCAGAGCCCAUGGAUGAGGUCUCAUGUGUUUCAAAUCUUUCUAGCAAGCAGCCAUGUAAAGCUAGGGAAGGUAUGGAUGAGAACAUGGUGGAUUCCUCUCAGGUGCUCAGUCAUCAUCCGCUUGAUUCAUCAAUGCUGGAAAGCCAGCAAAACAAUGAGAAAGGUGGAAAGGAUAACGUGUUUCUAAGUGACAGUUCGACAGCCGAGAGCCCAACAAAAUCUUUGGGUAAUAAUGUGGUAACUAACAUAGGUUUAGAUACCAAACACAGUGAUGGUAUUAUCUUGGAACUUAAGAAUGAGCUGAUGGAGAAGUCCGAUAAACUGAGUGAAACAGAGUCCAAGCUAAAUGGUGCUAUGGAAGAGGUAGCCAGCCUGAGCAGAGAGUUGGAAAUGAAUCAGAAAAUUCUCGAAGAAUCCCAGGUUUUUCAGCUAUUUCAUUAUUUUUAUUUAUUUAUUUAUUUAUUUUUAUUAAUCGCAUUGGGUGAGAUUAGGAGCUAGUCUUUACUUUUUGGUAUGUUAUCUUUAGCCAUUAUAUGAGCCUUUUCCCUUGAGUUCAUGUGGUACGUAUGGCUGUCUUGGUUGUAGAUGAACUGUGCGCAUUUGGAGAACUGCUUACAUGAAGCAAGAGAAGAAGCCCAGACCCAUCUUUGUGCUGCUGAUCGUAGAGCUUCUGAGUACACUGCACUCCGUGCGUCAGCUGUGAAGAUGCGAGGUCUCUUUGAAAGAUUCCGGAGCUCUGUGUGUGCUGGUGGUGGGGUCGCUGGUUUUGCUGACUCCUUGCGUACUUUGGCUCAAGCUUUAGACAAGUAAGUUCCUAUCAUUGUUCUUCCUCUCUUGUUAUAUCCACUUUUAAAGCUCUUGGUUUCUCAUAUAUUUCUUUGGAUUUGCAUCUCUCUUUCACAGCUCGAUUAAUGACAAUGAGGAUGAUGGCACUGUUGAGUUCCGGAAGUGCAUCCGAGUUCUGGCAGACAAAGUUAGCUACCUCUCCCAAAACCGGGAGGAGUUAUUUGAGAAGUGCCGGAAUCUUGAAUCCACAAGUGAAGAGACAAUAAAGGAGUUGAAGGAAAAGAAAGAGCUGGUGAAAACAUUGUACACCAAGCACCAACUUGGGAAGCAGGUAAGAAUAUGCGUUUUUGUUAUUUCAUUUGUGUGGGAUGCAUCUUAAAACUUUUUUGAACAUUUUGUGGACAGGCGAAUAAGGAAAAGAUAUCAUUUGGUCGUCUUGAAGUCCAUGAGAUAGCAGCAUUUGUGUUAAACCAAGCAGGGCAUUACGAGGCAAUCAACAGGAACUGCCCAAACUACUACUUGUCCUCUGAAUCCGAGGCGUUGUUCACAGAUCACCUCCCGAACCGGCCUACAUACAUCGUUGGACAGAUUGUCCACAUCGAGCGCCAAGCAGUGAAGCAGGCACAGACACUUUCAGCUUCUGCGUCUCCUGAGGCUGGUAAGAGAGAUUAUCUCGGCUCAAGAAACCUGGCAUCAAGUUCAAUGUCUUCAACAUCGUCUUCAGGAGCAACGACAACAAACCCUUAUGGCCUCUCAUCAGGAUUUGAAUACUUCAUAGUGACAAUAGCAAUGCUUCCUGACACUGGUAUUCAUCAACAAGCUUCCUGAUCCUUUUGCUUGUUCCUGCGGCAGAUUGAUAUGAUGGAAGAAACCUCUCCCCAGAAAAGAACAAAAAUGUAAAUAGUUAAAUAACCAUCAAUAACCAGACAGCCGCUCGUUUGAUUUGUGGAUGUUGGGUUUCAUUUGUCUCUAAAGUAUGUUAUUUCAUAUCUUCUUUCUUUCUGUACAGCUGAUGAUCACUGAUCUUAGUUUAAUCUGUUAUCCUUGUACAUACUCUGCUUUAUUAAAAUGUUGUAAUAAAAGAACAAUUUAAAUAUAUAAAAAUGAUAAAUUUAGGAUAAAUAAUGGAAUGCCUACGUCUCCUGAGACAUUGUUUUAUGAUUAGGGUGAUCUACACAAAUUCAUUAUCAAAACGUCUUUCUUCAUAUCCCUGUGGGGUUUAGUAACCAAGAGAUGAAUUUGAUUUACAUGAGAAAAAAAAACAGCAAAGCUAAUAGUACAGGUCUCCUAUACUUGCCAAAUCCUGAAAAGAGAGGCAGAGUUUAUAAAAGUUAUCUAUUUAUAUGCAUCACCAUCUUCUUCUGAAAUGUUGGACAAGAACUUUGGCAAGGAUGUGAUCCGGGGAAGGUGUAAGAGCAAAUCGCUGAACGAGUCUUUCCUUAACAUGCCCCCCUGUGGUUUGCUGCUGGAAGCCGGAUCAAGAACUCUGUUGUUGUUGUUGGCAGACACUGUCCCAUUCAGAUCAUUGAGUUCAGACUUCAAUCCAACUGGGAUCUCAGUAUUGAGCUGUGAGUUUGCAGCUACGUUGGGAUCCUUGUACAAGAGGUUGAAUAAAGAAUUAACCCUUGGCAUGAGAGACUUCUCAUCUGGUGUAUCGAACUGGAUAUUAUCACUUAGCAGUUGCUGUUUCAAGCUCUCAAACUUCUCCAGAUGCUCCGGAUGAUUU
rnacentral:lncRNA from 1 species